rnacentral:tRNA from 1 species
GCGGCGUUAGCUCACUUGGUUAGAGCACCAGGCUAUUAACCUGGCGGUAACGGGUUCGAUUCCCGUACGCACCAC